rnacentral:rRNA from 1 species
GAGUUUGAUCCUGGCUCAGAAUGAACGUUGGCGGCGUGGAUUAGGCAUGCAAGUCGUACGGGCCGCAAGGCCAGUGGCGCAAGGGUGAGUAAGGCGACGGUAACCAACCCCAUGAUUGGGUAUAGCCGCGGGAAACCGCGGGUAAUCCCCAGCGACGUCCGGGGGGGGCAUCCCCCCGGGACCAAAGCUCCGGCGUCGUGGGACGGGCCGUCGUGGUAUUAGCUUGUUGGCGGGGUGACGGCCCACCAAGGCGGCGAUGCCUACCGGGCGUGCGAGCGUGGCCCGGCACACUGGGACUGAGACACUGCCCAGACUCCUACGGGAGGCUGCAGUCGAGAAUCUUCGGCAAUGGGCGCAAGCCUGACCGAGCGACGCCGCGUGGAGGACGAAGGCCUUCGGGUUGUAAACUCCUGUCGAGGGGGAAGAAGGCCGGGUAACCGGCUUGACUGAUCCCUGGAGGAAGCACGGGCUAAGUUCGUGCCAGCAGCCGCGGUAAGACGAACCGUGCGAACGUUAUUCGGAAUCACUGGGCUUAAAGCGCGUGUAGGCGGGACGGCACGUCGGUCGCUGAAAGCCCCCGGCUCAACCGGGGAAGGGGCGCCGAUACGACCGUCCUGGAGGGACGUAGGGGGACCUGGAACUUCCGGUGGAGCGGUGAAAUGCGUUGAGAUCGGAAGGAACGCCCGUGGCGAAAGCGAGGUCCUGGACGUUUUCUGACGCUGAGACGCGAAAGCCAGGGGAGCGAACGGGAUUAGAUACCCCGGUAGUCCUGGCCGUAAACGAUGGGCACUGGGUAGGGGGCUCGCCGAUGGGCUCCCUGUCGUAGGGAAACCGUGAAGUGCCCCGCCUGGGGGAGUAUGGUCGCAAGGCUGAAACUCAAA